ACAAGCAGAGAGAAGGGGGAAACCCUAGCUCAAGCAAAAACAAGCAAUUGGAUCUAAAUUCUCAAGAUAAUCUAGUGCAUGAGUCCAUAAAUCUGAAUAACUAACCUCAAUUUCGUAAGUGGCAUAAAGGAAGAAGGUACAAGCGCCAAGAAAACGGAAGGAGCGCAAGAUCGAGGUAAAGCACCUCUAUAGGCGAUAUGGAGAUAUGGAACGAGCACAUGUUCAAGCCUUAUAAUACCAAGCGCUUCCGCAACUUAUAUGCAUGCUUUUGGGUUCUUGUUUUGUUACUUGGUUAAACUUUGUUGAAUUGUUUUAGGUUUGAAAAUUAGUUAUUUUCGUUGGAAUGGUUUUAUGUAAAAUGGGUCGUUUGUAAACGUUGUAUGUUAUGUCAAAACAGGGGGUAUGUCCGUUUUGCAAACGGGUCAUGCCCAAUUUUUGUAAAAAUUUCUUUAAGUGUUAAAGUGGUAUUUUAAUUGUCCGAAAAA